rnacentral:rRNA from 1 species
AGACCCGAAACCCGGUGAUCUAGCCAUGGGCAGGUUGAAGGUUGGGUAACACUAACUGGAGGACCGAACCGACUAAUGUUGAAAAAUUAGCGGAUGACCUGUGGCUGGGGGUGAAAGGCCAAUCAAACCGGGAGAUAGCUGGUUCUCCCCGAAAGCUAUUUAGGUAGCGCCUCGUGAAUUCAUCUCCGGGGGUAGAGCACUGUUUCGGCUAGGGGGCCAUCCCGGCUUACCAACCCGAUGCAAACUGCGAAUACCGGAGAAUGUUAUCACGGGAGACACACGGCGGGUGCUAACGUCCGUCGUGAAGAGGGAAACAACCCAGACCGCCAGCUAAGGUCCCAAAGUCAUGGUUAAGUGGGAAACGAUGUGGGAAGGCCCAGACAGCCAGGAUGUUGGCUUAGAAGCAGCCAUCAUUUAAAGAAAGCGUAAUAGCUCACUGGUCGAGUCGGCCUGCGCGGAAGAUGUAACGGGGCUAAACCAUGCACCGAAGCUGCGGCAGCGAACGUAUCACUUAAAGCGAUUCAGCGGAUGACGAUUGACGGAGCGAAGCGACGUCAAAGCGUAUACAAAGUCGAGUCGGUUUAAGGAUACGUU